UUUUAAACAUCCUUUUGUGUGUAAGUGUGCAUUAGUACAUGCUAACGAUAUUCAAAAAGUACAUACCUCAAAGAAAACAAUGACGCGAGUUAUCGUCUCUAACCUUCGAGGACUACAAAAAACACUCGGAUUGUAGGCAACAGCUUUGCUUGGGUACGCCCUCAAAGACAGGGGUGGGGAGCGCCGAGUCAGAAGAGAGCUAAAAUGGCGGAGGUUGUGAGUCCCUGCUUUGACUCUGUUUGCAAACUCUUGUUUCAUCAUUUAAGCGAUUAAAUAUCUCGAGUAGACGCUGUCUCUUUAGAUGCGAGGGCAAAAUAGCACUUUAUGGACUUCCACAGAGGACAUCAUGUUUAAUACGGUUCCGGAAAAAUCCAGUCAGAAGUUGUUCACGGAGUUUUCACAAUAACUGCUUCUCAUGAACCGAAGCUGGAUUUGCGCGACGUCUCCUCUUGAAAGUUGGAUUACUGUGCACUUCUGGAUCACAGACUGUAAGUAUUCAUGUUUAUUAUUUGCCUUUUACUGUACAUUACGUAACCGGUAACCGGAGAUUAACAUAAUGUGCGUGUAGAGCUAAGCUUGCAAGCUAAUUGUUUUGUGUUGUAAUACUGUAUUUCAUAAACAACGUACCAUAUUUACACACGUGUAUGUUGAAUUAUGCAGACUAUCGUUUUUUUUUAUCGAUGUUGGUUUAGACAUGUUUACAAACUUGCUAAGCUAAAUACAAAUACAAAUACCAGCUAAACUGUUACCGGUAAAAUUUGUUCUCAUGAUCAAACUCAAGAAACUCUAAGUACAGAUGAUUUGUUUAAAGUUAUAUGUAUUUUACUGUUGUAUUUACUUGAAGCUUUCUUAGAUUUUGAAACGAAGUAAACACGUAAUGUGUGUUGCUAAUGUUGGGCCAUGUAAUAUGUAAUACAUUUACGUUUUAAUGAAUAGUCUAACGAUUUAUAGUCGUUGUACUCUAUUGUUAUAAUAUGUCUUUUUGACUGAAUACAUGUUUGUUUUAUUUGUCUAUAUCCUAGAUUCGCAGCUGGACACAUCCUUCUACACUGUAUGCAAACAUGCAACAUCAUUACACACAGUACAAGGAGUCAGACUGGCAUAUGAGGAGCAAAGGAACCCAGGCAGUCAUCGUUUCACAAUGUUUCCAUCAUCAUCAUCAGUGGAUGCCUUUGCCGUCCGUAGCCUGAGAUUUCAGAUUUGAAGCAAAAAAAAUUUGAUUUUCUCAUUUAUUGGAAUGCUGUGCAGGUUGUACCUUGCAGCCAUCCAUUACAAUGUCACCAAGCCGUAACAAAAGCAGGAGAGGGAAGGUACAAGGCUAUGUUCCCAAAACACACAAGUGACAUACCUUAUGUGGAGGAUGUGAUCAGGCUUGUGUUUGAUGAGGUAUUUGAAGAUAAGCUGAAGGAAACCCCGAUUCCAAUGGACCUGGCAUCACAGUUUGAGAGACCUUCAAAGGAGGACGUGAUUGCAUGCCAUCUUCAGUGCAGGGGUCGUCGAAAGCCAAAAUUGUGACCGAUCUGAUCAGGAAGCUCCAAGCGUAUCUGGAGAACAACACACGACAGGAUGAUAACCUUAUAGUGUCGUCUUAAAUAGCACCAGCUGACAAAGCUUUGAUAUGCCAUUUAUCUGAAUAGAUAGCUGUAAGAAAUGAAUUGAAAAAAUUUUGA